rnacentral:tRNA from 1 species
GCCCACGUCGCUCAGUGGUUAGAGUGUUGGCCUGUGGACCAGAGAGUCACAGAUUCUAUUCCUGGUCAAGGGCA